CUACGGGGUGCAGCAGGCGCGAAAACUUUACAAUGCUGGCAACAGCGAUAAGGGAACCUCGAGUGCCAGGUUACAAAUCUGGCUGUCGAGAUGCCUAAAAAGCAUUUCAUAGCAAGGGCCGGGCAAGACCGGUGCCAGCCGCCGCGGUAACACCGGCGGCUCGAGUGGUAACCGUUAUUAUUGGGUCUAAAGGGUCUGUAGCCGGCCGGAUAAGUCUCUUGAGAAAUCUGGCAGCUUAACUGUCAGGCUUUCAGGAGAUACUGUCUGGCUCGAGGCCGGGAGAGGUGAGAGGUACUUCAGGGGUAGGAGUGAAAUCUUGUAAUCCUUGAAGGACCACCAGUGGCGAAGGCGUCUCACCAGAACGGACCUGACGGCAAGGGACGAAAGCUAGGGGCACGAACCGGAUUAGAUACCCGGGUAGUCCUAGCCGUAAACGAUACUCGCUAGGUGUCGGCCACGGUGCGACCGUUGUCGGUGCCGUAGGGAAGCCG
rnacentral:rRNA from 1 species